AUUGAACGCUGGCGGCAUGCCUUACACAUGCAAGUCGAACGGCAGCACGGGAGCAAUCCUGGUGGCGAGUGGCGAACGGGUGAGUAAAGUAUCGGAACGUGCCCAGCCGGGGGGGAUAACGUAGCGAAAGUUACGCUAAUACCGCAUACGAUCUCUGGAUGAAAGCGGGGGAUCGCAAGACCUCGCGCGCUUGGAGCGGCGCAUAUCAGAUUAGGGAGUUGGUGGGGGAAAGGCUCGCCAAGCCGACGAUCUGUAGCUGGUCGGAGAGGACGACCAGCCACGCUGGGACUGAGACACGGCCCAGACUCCUACGGGAGGCAGCAGUGGGGAAUUUUGGGCAAUGGGCGAAAGCCUGAUCCAGCCAUGCCGCGGGCAGGAUGAAGGCCUUCGGGUUGUAAACUGCUUUUGUACGGAACGAAAAGGUUUGGCCUAAUAAGCUGAGCUCAUGACGGUACCGUAAGAAUAAGCACCGGCUAACUACGUGCCAGCAGCCGCCGUAA
rnacentral:rRNA from 1 species